rnacentral:rRNA from 1 species
CCCUUAGAUGUUCUGGGCUGCACACGUGCUACACUGGCAGGUUCAGCGAGCUUCAUGCCCUGAUCUGAAAGGAAUGGGAAAUCUUUUCAAAACCUGCCGUGCUUGGGAUAGAUGUUUGCAAUUAUUCAUCUUCAACGAGGAUUGCCUUGUAAGCGCACGUCAUCAGCGUGCAUUGAAUACGACCCUGUAUUCUGUACACACCGCCCGUCGCUCCUACCGAUUGAAGUUUUCGGUGAGUUGACAGGAGGAUUUUUUUGAAACUGGUUCGCCAGUGGAUUUUAGAUCCAAAUGCCAACGAAUCGAUGUCUUUAGAGGAAGGAGAAGUCGUAACA